AGCAGCAGCCGCGGUAAUACGUAGGUGGCAAGCGUUGUCCGGAAUUAUUGGGCGUAAAGGGCUCGCAGGCGGUUUCUUAAGUCUGAUGUGAAAGCCCCCGGCUCAACCGGGGAGGGUCAUUGGAAACUGGGAAACUUGAGUGCAGAAGAGGAGAGUGGAAUUCCACGUGUAGCGGUGAAAUGCGUAGAGAUGUGGAGGAACACCAGUGGCGAAGGCGACUCUCUGGUCUGUAACUGACACUGAGAGACGAAAGCUAGGGGAGCAAAUGGGAUUAGAUACCCCGGUAGUCCCUGUCUCUUAUAC
rnacentral:rRNA from 1 species